rfam:Crassostrea gigas strain 05x7-T-G4-1.051#20 contig5149, whole genome shotgun sequence.
GCCUAGGUAGCUCAGAGGUAGAGCUCCUGAUUAGAGUUGCAGGGGUGCCGGGUUCGAUUCCCGGUCUAGCCA